rnacentral:rRNA from 1 species
AGCAGUAGCGCGGUAAAACGUAGGGUGCAAGCGUUAAUCGGAAUUACUGGGCGUAAAGCGUGCGCAGGCGGUUAUAUAAGACAGAUGUGAAAUCCCCGGGCUCAACCUGGGAACUGCAUUUGUGACUGUAUAGCUAGAGUACGGCAGAGGGGGAUGGAAUUCCGCGUGUAGCAGUGAAAUGCGUAGAUAUGCGGAGGAACACCGAUGGCGAAGGCAAUCCACUGGGCCUGUACUGACGCUCAUGCACGAAAGCGUGGGGAGCAAACAGGAUUAGAUACCCGCGUAGUCCCUGUCUCUUAUACC